rnacentral:rRNA from 1 species
ACUACAUGAAGCUGGAAUCGCUAGUAAUCGCAAAUCAGAAUGUUGCGGUGAAUACGUUCCCGGGUCUUGUACACACCGCCCGUCACACCAUGGGAGUCGGAUAUGCCCGAAGCCAGUGACCUAACCGCAAGGAAGGAGCUGCCUAAGGUGGGGUAGAUGAUUGGGGUGAAGUCGUAACAAGGUAUC